CAGUCGAUAGGCGCCGGUCUGCAGGGUGGACUAAUCCGCUCUCCGGGAUUCAAACAUAUCAAGUAUCAGCUGAAGACGGCCUGCGAUUGGCGGCUGCAGGUCCGCGCCGGCCAGCGAAUCAUGCUGCACUUCACACAGUGGCUCGGCGUCGAAGGAAACAUGGCCGGCCUCGCUGCGGUAGCCGUGUGCGUGUGUAACCGAAUACGUCGGGACGCGCGGCGGAGAGUUCUGCCACGGCAGUCCGACAGCCUGCCCGCACGCCUGCACAUGUGGACGUUCGAACGGUCCUACCCUACCGUCUGACGUUUUCCACGGGAGAAUUUGGCGG